GACGUAGGGCGCGAGCGUUGUCCGGAUUUAUUGGGCGUAAAGAGCUCGUAGGCGGCUCGUUGCGUCAACCGUGAAAACCCGGGGCUUAACUUCGGGCUUGCGGUUGAUACGGGCGGGCUGGAGUUCGGUAGAGGUGGGUGGAACUCCUGGUGGAGUGGUGAAAUGCGUAGAGAUCAGGAAGAACACCCGUGGCGAAGGCGGCCCACUGGGCCGGUACUGACGCUGAGGCGCGAAGGCGUGGGGAGCGAACGGG
rnacentral:rRNA from 1 species